UACAGAGGUCUCAAGCGUUGUUCGGAUUCAUUGGGCGUAAAGGGUGCGUAGGCGGCGCGGUAAGUCGGGUGUGAAAUCUCGGAGCUUAACUCCGAAACUGCAUUCGAUACUGCCGUGCUUGAGGACUGGAGAGGAGACUGGAAUUUACGGUGUAGCGGUGAAAUGCGUAGAUAUCGGGAGGAACACCAGUGGCGAAGGCGGCGACCUGGGCCAAUACUGACGCUGAGGUGCGAAAGCGUGGGGAGCAAACAGG
rnacentral:rRNA from 1 species